rnacentral:lncRNA from 1 species
UUUUACUUUUCCAAUCUGUUCAACAGAGUUGACCACCGUUACUGCUCUGCCAGUAGCACCACCGCUCUUCCGCUCCAGCCAUGCCGCAUACAGUGAGCCUGGCAGAAGACAUUGUGGAGGUACAAUUAAUUAAAUCUUCACCUCUUUUUUACCUUUGGUUAUCAUUUGGUCAUUUCACUCAACACGCCUUUACUUUUCCAAUCUGUUCAACAGAAUUGACAGGUCCGACCUUUAUUUUGCCACCUCGACCACAGCACCCAGGAACAUUUUUCAACUCCAUCGAUGCCGGUAAAUACUCUUCAAUUGCCAAUUGCUUUGUUCAUUGUUUUGGACAAAAGUGCCAGUUAAGUGUAAUGUCAUACCAUUGCAGUAAUCAUUUCACUAAACAUGCCUUUACUUUUCCAAUCUGUUCAACAGAGUUGACUACCGUUACUGCUCUGCCAGUAGCACCACCGCUCUUCCGCUCCAGCCAUGCCGAGUUAACAAGUCAGACCACCACUCCUCCGUCAACUUCGCCCACAUCUCUGCCAGUACCACCCCAGCAAGGUAGAACUGCAUUUUC